CUGAGGCCGAUAGGCGUAGGCGAUGGACAACAGGUUGAUAUUCCUGUACCAGUUGCUUUUGUUUGAGCGAUGGAGGGACGCAGGAGGCUAAGGAAUGCACACGAUCGGAAAUGUGUGUCCAAGCAGCAAGUCUGAGAACGAGUGAAAUGCUUUUUCUCUCAAGGACAAGCUGUGAUGGGGAGCGAAAUUUAGUAGCGAAGUUCCUGAUGUCACACUGCCAAGAAAAGCUUCUAGUGAGAAAGUAACUGCCCGUACCGCAAACCGACACAGGUAGUUGAGGAGAGAAUCCUAAGGUGUGCGAGAGAACUCUCGUUAAGGAACUCGGCAAAAUGACCCCGUAACUUCGGGAGAAGGGGUGCUGACCGCAAGGUCAGCCGCAUUGAAUAGGCCCAGGCGACUGUUUAUCAAAAACACAGGUCUCUGCAAAAUCGAAAGAUGACGUAUAGGGGCUGACGCCUGCCCGGUGCUGGAAGGUUAAGAGGAGAGGUUAGCGCAAGCGAAGCUUUGAAUUGAAGCCCCAGUAAACGGCGGCCGUAACAAUAACGGUCCUAAGGUAGCGAAAUUCCUUGUCAGGUAAGUUCCGACCCGCACGAAAGGCGUAACGAUUUGGGCACUGUCUCAACGAGAGACUCGGUGAAAUUAUAGUACCAGUGAAGAUGCUGGUUACCCGCGACAGGACGGAAAGACCCCAUGGAGCUUUACUGCAGUUUGAUAUUGCGUGUUUGUAUCACAUGUACAGGAUAGGUAGGAGCCGAAGAUACCGGGACGCCAGUCUCGGAGGAGGCAACGGUGAUACUACCCUUGUGAUAUGACCACUCUAACCCGCUGCUCUUAGCGAGCAGGGAGACAGUGUCAGACGGGCAGUUUGACUGGGGCGGUCGCCUCCAAAAAUGUAACGGAGGCGCCCAAAGGUUCCCUCAGAAUGGUUGGAAAUCAUUCGUAGAGUGUAAAGGCAGAAGGGAGCUUGACUGCGAGACCUACAAGUCGAGCAGGGACGAAAGUCGGGCUUAGUGAUCCGGUGGUUCCGCAUGGAAGGGCCAUCGCUCAACGGAUAAAAGCUACCCUGGGAUAACAGGCUUAUCUCCCCCAAGAGUUCACAUCGACGGGGAGGUUUGGCACCUCGAUGUCGGCUCAUCGCAUCCUGGGGCUGUAGUCGGUCCCAAGGGUUGGGCUGUUCGCCCAUUAAAGCGGUACGCGAGCUGGGUUCAGAACGUCGUGAGACAGUUCGGUCCCUAUCCGUCGCGGGCGUUGGAAAUUUGAGAGGAGCUGUCCUUAGUACGAGAGGACCGGGAUGGACACACCGCUGGUGUACCAGUUGUUCUGCCAAGAGCAUCGCUGGGUAGCCAUGUGUGGACGGGAUAAACGCUGAAAGCAUCUAAGCGUGAAGCCCCCCUCAAGAUGAGAUUUCCCAUCACUUUAAGUGAGUAAGACCCCUGAGAGAUGAUCAGGUAGAUAGGUUGGGAGUGGAAGUACAGCGAUGUAUGAGCGGACCAAUACUAAUCGGUCGAGGACUUAAUC
rnacentral:rRNA from 1 species